GUGGGGAAUAUUGCACAAUGGGGGAAACCCUGAUGCAGCGACGCCGCGUGAGUGAAGAAGUAUUUCGGUACGUAAAGCUCUAUCAGCAAGGAAGAAAAUGACGGUACUUGACUAAGAAGCCCCGGCUAACUACGUGCCAGCAGCCGCGGUAAUACGUAGGGGGCAAGCGUUAUCCGGAUUUACUGGGUGUAAAGGGAGCGUAGACGGUAUGGUAAGUCAGAUGUGAAAGCCCGGGGCUCAACCCCGGGACUGCAGUUGAAACUAUCAGACUAGAGUGCAGGAGAGGUAAGUGGAAUUCCUAGUGUAGCGGUGAAAUGCGUAGAUAUUAGGAGGAACACCAGUGGCGAAGGCGGCUUACUGGACUGUAACUGACGUUGAGGCUCGAAAGCGUGGGGAGCAAACAGGAUUAGAAACCCUGGUAGUCC
rnacentral:rRNA from 1 species